GUAGGGAAUAUUGGACAAUGGGCGGAAGCCUGAUCCAGCCAUGCCGCGUGUGUGAAGAAGGUCUUCGGAUUGUAAAGCACUUUAAGUUGGGAGGAAGGGCAGUAAGUUAAUACCUUGCUGUUUUGACGUUACCGACAGAAUAAGCACCGGCUAACUUCGUGCCAGCAGCCGCGGUAAUACGAAGGGUGCAAGCGUUAAUCGGAAUUACUGGGCGUAAAGCGCGCGUAGGUGGUUUUGUAAGUUGGAGGUGAAAUCCCCGGGCUCAACCUGGGAACUGCCUCCAAAACUGCAUCACUAGAGUACGGUAGAGGGUAGUGGAAUUUCCUGUGUAGCGGUGAAAUGCGUAGAUAUAGGAAGGAACACCAGUGGCGAAGGCGACUACCUGGACUGAUACUGACACUGAGGUGCGAAAGCGUGGGGAGCAAACAGGAUUAGAAACCCUGGUAGUCC
rnacentral:rRNA from 1 species